rnacentral:rRNA from 4 species
GAGACCCACGCCCACAGUUGCCAGCGUACUCUCCGGAGUGACGGGUACACUGUGGGGACCGCCGCUGCUAAAGCGGAGGAAGGAAUGGGCAACGGUAGGUCAGUAUGCCCCGAAUAUCCCGGGCUACACGCGAGCUACAAUGGUUGGUACAAUGGGUAUCUACCCCGAAAGGGGAUGGAAAUCUCCUAAAGCCAAUCUUAGUUCGGAUUGAGGGCUGCAACUCGCCCUCAUGAAGCUGGAAUCCGUAGUAAUCGCGUUUCAACAGAACGCGGUGAAUAC